rfam:Danio rerio chromosome 6, GRCz11 reference primary assembly.
GUGGGCUAUGGAGACAUGCAUCCAGUGACCAUCGGAGGGAAGAUUGUUGGCUCUUUGUGCGCCAUCGCCGGUGUAUUGACCAUUGCGCUGCCCGUACCUGUCAUUGUGUCCAAU